GGAGGGAUUGUUCUUUAAACCACCAUCUUCUCCCUUCUUUCUAUUUGUGCUGCCAGGUAGUUGGUAGAAAAUGGAUUUCUUUCCAAUAGAACUCUACAGCCUAUACUAUCUGGUAGCUGAUGUUGCUCCUACAAAGUCAGGUGAGCACUCAAACAUCUCCCCUUGCUGCUCACUUGUAGUUUCCUCUUUCAAAAAGCAUUCUAGUUUCAGUGUUCUGAAAUUUUGAUUAAGGUUAUUUUUUCAUUUGACUUGAGUAAAGAGUUUCACAUCUGUCUCCUGUCAGCAUUAAGAAAUGCCACUGUUUCUAUGUGCAUUUCUCCCCUGUGUCUUUCUCUUUGUCAUCGCCAUGGUUGUUGGUCCUUGGGCACUCUUGAAUAGCUUGGUUUGUUGUUUUAUGUUCUAUGCGUUGUUACUUUCCGUUAUCCAAUAUGGCUGUGGAACUUUUACAUCCAAGGAAAACUUUUACAUCUUCACAGUAAAGCGCAGGGCCGUUCUGUUCUGCUUUCAGGUCUCAGUCUUGCUAGAGUUGUCAAUUACAGGACGUCUGUUUUAAAACUCUCAACCUAUACCAUGAAAUUUCUGUGUCUGUUAAGUCUCUUGUGUACCUUUGCUUUUUUAAUAUCAGAAUCACUCCCCAGUCUAAUGUCUUACAGUCCUUUGCAUUCCAUUCAUGUGGGAUGAAGCACAAGGGCAGGGGUUGGACAAGGGGUGAGUGAUUGCUACCCCACCUGAGUAUAGCUCCGGUUCCCAACACCUCCACCCUUAGAUGGCUGUUUUCCAUAGCUCUGCUCUUCCUCCCAAGCUAUGUGUCAGUGGUGUUGAGAACUAACCCUUGCUUUGGAUACAUAGUCUAGUUCUUAGGCAAAGGUCUGUAUCUACACUUACUCUCCCUUCUAUGUUUGACAGGGUAGACUGGCUUUCUCUGCAGUUGCUGCCCAUGUCUGGUCUUUGACUCUCUUUGGUCAUUUUCUCUGAUGUGCCUCUAAGUGUUCUCCCUGGUUUGAACUAGAAUCAUUCAUUGUAUAUUUUCUUUCUCAGAUCAUGUGGAUUUGAUUUAUUCUCAUUCUGGCAUCGUAACAAUCUCCAGGGAUGAGAAGAGCAAGUAUGUCAGUUCUCUCUGAAAUCAGAAUCUUCUGUGGCCUUCCUCUGUGUGCUCCAACAAGCAGAAUCUUGGAUUAGGAAUCUUGAUUAGGAAAAUAUGUUUCAGUAUAAAUUCAAAGUACUUUCUUUUCUUGUAAUUCCAAUUUCAUAGCAUAAAAGAUCUCAACUUUCCUCGAUUUAUUUUGCAUAUUUCUUGUUUUUUUUUUCUGUAAAAUGUAAAAGUGGUUUACGCCUGUUUUAUUUCAAGUUUAAUUUGCUUCAUGACAUCCCAUUUUUAUAAUGUUAUAAACUGUCUCAUUAAAAAAUUUUAAUAAAUAAAAACACCACACAUCAAAGUUAUUCAGACCUCUAUCCUAUACAAUUAAAUGAGUUAGUUGGAACAGUUAGAAUUGGCAGUUGGAAUAGAAGCUGUGGAGCUUUGCAUUAAAAUAUUUAUUUUACAGUAUUUUAAGUGUUGCUUUCUCUCCUUUUCCCUUCUUUCCUCCGUCCUAUCUCUCUUGCCUUUUUUCCCUUUCUUUCCUUCCCCGAGGCUCCAUGCUUUUGUGUACCACUGUCAUCCCAACCCUGUUCUUACAUGUUCUCCAUUUCAAUUUUGCAACAGUGAGCUUAACAAUUCACUUUAUGAUUAAAUAUAAAUCUAAAACCAAGAGCCCAGGGAACUUGCCCUUGCGACUAAAGACUUCCUUGACUUUAGACAUGCCAUAGCAAUCCAGACAACCUAACAAUUGUGGCUCUGGGUAGAAUGUAUCUGGAAACAGCUAGAUUCUCCUUGGAAAUAUGUAGAAGAGCAGGCUAGUUUUUGGAGUCAGAGUUUUAGUUAGAGAGAGCCAGUCUCUGUCAGUCAUAACACUGGCCUAGCAGCCUGUGUCUCAUGGAAUUUAUUUUCUUCUCCUUUCAUAAUCUGGAGUAAUAAGGAGCCAGGAGAGAUCAUGAACUAGUCAGGUUAAGUCUACCUCUGUGGCGGGGCAAAGGAAGAUGGAGGGUCCCUCUUCUCUCUGUCUGUGUUUAGGAAAUGUUUUUAUCUUUACUGUACUGUAAAAGGAACUAGGUCAUUGUGUUUGCUUUGCUCUAGUUAUCUGCAUGAUCUUAACCUAAUAUCCUUGCAGUCUUCAAUCCAUGGUCGAAGAAAAGGAAGAGAUUUGUAGCACUUCUGAUUUAUAGAGAAAUGGAUUUUUUAAAGUUCAUAAUGAUGUCUCUGGAAUUCCACUUUUGACUAUCAUGUCACUUUAAGUUCUUAAAAAUCUGCUUUCUAGCCAGGUGGUGUUGGUGUACAACUUUCAUCAUGGCACUUGGGAGGCACAGGCAGUAGAUUUCAAUUGGACUUCAGAGUGAAUUCCAGGACAACCAGGCCUAU
rnacentral:lncRNA from 1 species